GCCUUCAGUUGUGUCCGGUGGAGUUUAAAGGUGGCGAUUCCUGCAAUAAAGGGAUCUUCGGAUGCAUUAGGAGGUCCGUGUCGCGUUGUUCCCCAUUGCUACAGGGUCCUGGGCAUUGGGAAAUAAAUUGUGACUGUGAACCAUUUUUUCAUUGGAGACAGGCCACAGGAAUUCAAGUUUUGGCCGAUUCCCCACUUUCUGCUAGACUUUGCACUGGUGUGAAGUUUCCUCUGUGUUGAGCAUGGCCCCGACGCGCCUGCGGCCCCUGCUGAGGUACCGCUCCUUCGCCAUCCUCUUCCUCACGCCGCGG